rnacentral:lncRNA from 1 species
CCCCCCCCCCCCCCCCCCCCCUUUUAACAAAUGCACAAGUCUUGUUAUGUGACUUUUUACCUCUUUCAUGUCGUGUUUGCAGCAGAGGACAGAACACAUUCUGGAGACCCCGAGCCUCAAACCCUGCUGUGGACUCUGCAGUGAGUGCACACAGGCAGUCGCAGCCCCUUCCUUGCACGGUGCUUUAGAAUCGUGACAUUUAAAAAACAUACAAUCCGUCUGUCAGCAUCCCAGUAUUUCCCUCUCAAGCUGUUCCCUGGUGGACAACUGAAGAAUCCGAGUUUUUCAAAUAACACACUGGUGUUAUGUGAACCCAAGGGCUCGGCCUGUGGAAAAAGAGAUUUGCAAAAUGAUCUGAAACAGCUGUAAACACAGCUUUAAACUGUUACACACCCUCACAAUUAAAUUAACCAGUAUUACACUUCACAAAGACACUAAGGAGCAAUAGCAGGGAGGUUCACUUGUGAGCUUUGGAGGAGCUAAAAAGCUUCUUUCCUGUGUUAACCAGCUCUGAGUAAUGCGGUUUUGCACAAGCUGGAGUCAGAAGUGGGUAAUUCGGUAGAGGUCUGGGAGCUCCUCAGCAGGAGGUGGUGGCUGGGCAGCGAGGUCUGCAGGCAUGGCAGUGAGAAACCCACCAAUGGACACUGAAAAAAGGCACCUCCAGGCAGAGGAGGUGCAGAGGCUGCUGCAGAACGGGUGAUGGGACCUGUGGGCAUGGCCUCAUGGCGGCAGGCUCAUGGGGAUUGGGAAGGGCCCCCGAGGAGACUGAGAGCACAGGAAGUCAGCCUUAGGGGGAGUCCUGGGUCUGCACGGUGCAGAGAGCGGAGGAGGUAUUCCUCAAAGAAGUGACUACCAGGAAGCAAACAGAACAAUCUCAAUUAAAGGGCAGUAGUAGCACAGGACAAUACCAACCUUAACAUAUUCCAGGUGGUAAAGAAUAGAUGGCCUCCAACCAGGAGAGGAGCAAGUUACUGGAAGAGAUCCCUGGGAGGAGCAGUGGGAAUGGGAGUGUGGGUGCUUGAGAUGCAGCAUGGAAGGGAGGCCCUGCCGGCACUGCCUGGAGCACAGUGGGUACAUGAGCCCUCCAGGAGCACCUGCUUGAGCAGCUUCUGUUUUGGCAGCUCCCAGCUGUCAGAACCACCACUCUUUCAGGGCACUUGGGGAGUGUGACAGCAGGUCUUCCGCAGCAUCAGUUGUUUUAUUUCUGUGAAUAAGGUGAUUCAUGUAGGCCUAAUUAUGUACUAGCAACAGUAGUAGAAAACCUUGAGUACUGUGUUCAGUUUGGGGUGCCUCGCUACAAGAAGGACAACAAGGACCUGGAAUGUAUCCCGAGAAGGUCAGCAAAGCUGUAAGGGGUUUGGAGCACAAGUCUUAUGAGGAGCAACUGAGGGAACUGGGAUUGUUCAGAAGAGGAGGCUCAGGGAAGACCUUACUGUACUCUACAACUGCCAAAAGAAGGUUGUGGUGAAGGGGCGGUCAGCCUCUUCUCCAGAGUAACAGGGAUAGGAUGAGAGGUGAUGGCCUCACGUUGCGCCGGGGGAGGUUCACGUUGGAUAUUAGUAAACAGUUCUUCUCAGGAAAAGAGGUAGUGCAUUAGCACAGGCUGCCCAGGGAGGUGGUGGAGCCACCAUCCCUGGAGGUGUUCAAGGGAUGUGUACAUGUGGCACUGAGGGAUGUGGUCAGUGGGCAAUAUUGGUGAUAGGAGGACGGUUGGACUGGAUGAUCUUAGAGGUCUUUGGCAACCUGAAUGAUUCUAUAAUUCUAUGAUUCUAUGAAAAGAGAAACAGAAGAGAGAAGCUAUCUGUGUUUAACAAAACCAAUACACUGCCACCAGUGAUUAAAUGCUGACAUGCUGAACGUGUCUCACCCAAGGCUUGUAGGGACAAAGCAAACAGUGUGCUGUUUGUCUGCAGCCCAGCAAUCGAUGGCAAGCGUUUGUGGGAAAUAAACCAAUAAACCAGC